GUGAAUCAUCGAAUUUUUGAACGCAAAUUGCACUCUCUGGUAAUCCGGAGAGUAUGCCUGUUUGAGGGUCAGUUUAAAUAACAAUCGGCGUGGUUGCUGCACUUAGUGGUGACGCACCGGACUUGGGUCGUCUCGCCUUCGGUUAAGUGACCUAAUAUUUUGCAUGUUCUUUUUCGAACGUA
rnacentral:misc_RNA from 1 species